rnacentral:rRNA from 1 species
CACGGUAAACGAUGGAUGCCCGCUGUCGGCGAUACACUGCCGGCGGCCAAGCGAAAGCGUUAAGCAUCCCACCUGGGGAGUACGCCGGCAACGGUGAAACUCAAAGGAAUUGACGGGGGCCCGCACAAGCGGAGGAACAUGUGGUUUAAUUCGAUGAUACGCGAGGAACCUUACCCGGGCUUGAACUGCCAGCGAACGAUACAGAGAUGUUGAGGCCCUUCGGGGCGCUGGUGGAGGUGCUGCAUGGUUGUCGUCAGCUCGUGCCGUGAGGUGUCGGCUUAAGUGCCAUAACGAGCGCAACCCCUUUCGUCAGUUGCCAUCAGGUUAUGCUGGGCACUCUGGCGACACUGCCACCGUAAGGUGUGAGGAAGGUGGGGAUGACGUCAAAUCAGCACGGCCCUUACGUCCGGGGCUACACACGUGUUACAAUGGGUGGUACAGAGAGUCGGUCGCAGGCAAUUGCGGUCUAAUCAUGAAAGCCAUCCUCAGUUCGGAUUGGGGUCUGCAACCCGACC